GCGGCUGAUUAGUUAGUUGGUGAGGUAACGGCUCACCAAGACGAAGAUCAGUAGCCGGCCUGAGAGGGCGCACGGCCACACUGGAACUGAAACACGGUCCAGACUCCUACGGGAGGCAGCAGUGGGGAAUUUUGCGCAAUGGGGGAAACCCUGACGCAGCAACGCCGCGUGGAGGAUGAAGUCCCUUGGGAUGUAAACUCCUUUCGAUCGGGACGAUUAUGACGGUACCGGAAGAAGAAGCACCGGCUAACUCUGUGCCAGCAGCCGCGGUAAU
rnacentral:rRNA from 1 species